AGGAGCUGUAUCAUCUUGAUACAUAUUGACCAUGACCCGCCCUGCUAUACUUCUGAUUGGCCCUCAGCUAUUUUCGCCCGACCAAUCAAAACGGCGGGGCCGUCCGCUUCAUACAGCUCUUCCUAGGGGAACCCGAGGCGUUCCCAAGCGAGCCAGUUUCUAACAUAAUAGUGAGAGUCCAGUCCAUGGUGGGGCCAGCCAGAGACCAUCCCGAGCGCAGACAGGUCAGCAACGCAGAGAUGUCCCCAACCGAUUAACAGACGUCUGUGAAGAACAUCUUCACCCUGAGCAACAGAAGUGGAGCUUCAGGAUGCAGACGGAGGAGCCACAGCCCUCCCACAUUAAGAAGGAAGAGGAAUACCUUCAGAUCCCCCAUUUUAAAGAGGAAGAGGAACACCCACUAAUCCCCAAAUUUAAAGCGGAAGCUGAGGAUCC